rnacentral:rRNA from 1 species
ACGAACGCUGGCGGCGUGCUUAACACCUGCAAGUCAAACGAAGAGCGAUGGAAGCUUGCUUCUAUCAAUCUUAGUGGCGAACGGGUGAGUAACGCGUAAUCAACCUGCCCUUCAGAGGGGGACAACAGUUGGAAACGACUGCUAAUACCGCAUACGAUCUAAUCUCGGCAUCGAGGAUAGAUGAAAGGUGGCCUCUACAUGUAAGCUAUCACUGAAGGAGGGGAUUGCGUCUGAUUAGCUAGUUGGAGGGGUAACGGCCCACCAAGGCGAUGAUCAGUAGCCGGUCUGAGAGGAGGAACGGCCACAUUGGGACUGAGACACGGCCCAGACUCCUACGGGAGGCAGCAGUGGGGAAUCUUCCGCAAUGGACGAAAGUCUGACGGAGCAACGCCGCGUGAGCGAUGACGGCCUUCGGGUUGUAAAGCUCUGUUAAUCGGGACGAAAGGCCUUCUUGCGAAUAGUGAGAAGGAUUGACGGUACCGGAAUAGAAAGCCACGGCUAACUACGUG